GGCUGGUUAGCUCAGUCAGUCAGAGCGUGGUGCUGAUAACACCAAGGUUGUGGGUUCGAUCUCCAUUUGGUCCC
rnacentral:tRNA from 1 species